rnacentral:lncRNA from 1 species
GAGUUAACCUCUCCAGAAGGUUGCUUCUGGAGAGGUGUUCGAUCGGGUAUUUAACCGCAGCUACAACUGAGCUGGAGAUUCCUAUGAGAAAUAAGUAGCCUAGUUUUGUCCGAGCAUAUUUAGGAAGGUUGGAUUGCCUGCCUGAAAGAGCUUGGAACUCCUUUAGAUCACUCAGCCUGGACUGCGGCGGUCUCACAAGUCGAGCUCUCGGAUUCUACCCGCAGCUUACUCCCCACUCGUUCUUCCGGACUUUAAUGAAGGAAUACAUGAACCAGCCGGCUCCUUCCCAAUUUGUGAAGUCGACGCAGAUUCUCCACUUGCCGGUCUUCUUCUUUACCACAAUUGUAUUGGACAUCUAACUCAAGUAAAGAACCUCUGUUAUUGCACUCGCCUAUUUCAGCUUUUCAACCUCUUCUAUCACCGCGUCCACAUGUUCUGGCGCGGACCUUCUUCCUCUUUGUUUCACUGGUUGAGCUUCUGGGAGGACGUUCAACUCGUGUUUGAUGAAAUUGGGGCCUAUCCCAGGCAUCUCAUAGGGUGUCCAUGCGAAAACUUCAAUAUUUGCUAUGAGGAACUUGAUGAGCUCGCUUCUCUCUCGUUCCUCCAGGUUGCACCAAUGAGAAAGAAACGGUCCAAGAUUGGCUCAUCAAGUUCAUAGCGUAUCAAAUCUUCCACGACUUUAGCCUCAGGAACUCUGCCGACGUUUUCCAGGACAUCGUACUCUUCCUCAAUCACUUGCACUUCUUUUAUGGCCGCCUUAAUGGAGAUCAUAGUAGGUAGCAUUGUUUGGCUACUACUUGAUCUCCAUAAAGGGUUUCUUCACAUCGGGGGUGGCAAACUUAAUGACUUGGCGUAGCUAGCUACGACUAAUUCUUCUGAACAUUCUUUAAUUUCGUUAUAAGUUUUCCAGUAUCACAUGUUGUAAUUUCGAAUUGAUUCAUUCUUGCCUUUUUUAAGCAUUAAAAGAGAGCCAACGCCUUUUGGCGCUUUCGUGUUUAUGACGAACCGAGCUACAAAUGACUCGAUGAGCUAAUAGAAGCUUUCAAUUGAUCUUGUAGGUAGUCGGUCGAACCAUUUCAACCCGAGAUCUCUCGAGCUCGAUGGAAACACUCGGCAUAUCAGGGCAUCCAUGUGAUUCCAGAGAGCUAUCAUUUGUCUGGCGUGACAGAUGUGUGAUCUUAGGUCUGAAUUCCCAUCAUACAGUGUGAAUCUCGGCAGUGUGAACUUCUCUGGUGGGUCCAAUCCCUUGAUGUUUUGGGAGAAUGGAGUUUGGUACCUUGGGAUUGCUUCCCUUAGUUCGGGCCUGGUCGUGUAGCCUACUGAUCAUGUAGGAACGAUGACUUUGCUCGAAGCCGCCGCUAUUCGGUCAUUGAGCUUGGUGCGCAAAUCACCAUCUCGAUUUCGCUUGGCAUUGAGCGCCUCAUAGAGAUCCAUACCAGAAUCAGCUCGGUUAGGUGAUCCUCUAUGCUUCCUUGAUGCUACAAAAUUGCUAUAUGUUCUACUAUCCAAGCUGACAUGAGAUCUGCGUUGCCUCUUAUCCCGUCCUUCCUGAGGCAGGAGGGUUGGUCCUUUAGGCCUGCCCUCGGAUGGUCUUCCUUCUACUGCUUGGGUUGGCUUCAUCAAUCUAUUGUCAACCAGGAUCUGCGCCAUUUCAGCUAACUAGGUCUGCAGGCUUUUGAUGGUUAGAUCCCUGUUGUCUUCUCCUUUAGGGAGCAAUCGACUUAGUCUCUGCCUUGAGGUGACCUUGGAUGUCCUUUGUGCAUCGACUAGUAGUUUAUCUCCUCUUGUAGAAGGAGUUUUAGGGGCAUAAGAGUGCUCCCUUUGGGUUUCUCGGCUUCUAGAACGUUUGUUACUUUGUGAUGCCAUUAGAGCUAUCUUUCACAAGUGUCAAUAGUCGAUUUCUCAUAGAUGGCGCCAAUUAUGGGGUGUGAGCUUGGGAGUCUGGGAGAUGAGAGGAAAGAAAUCGAGAAUAGACACCCGCGGUGGUUCUAUGGCGAUAAAGGUAGCUUUAACUAGUCAACAAAAGUCCUACCUACAAAACAAAAACAAUGAGAUCGACCACUAGAGCUGUUUUUGGAAAACGACUCUUUGACGGUCAAGUUAGAAAACCGAAGAAUGUAUUUAGAGAGAGAGUGUGUGUGUGUAUGUUUCCUAUUAGCUGAAAAAUGCAUACAUUUUUGGAGAACAUAGAUUCCUCUUAUAUAGCAUAGCUUGAUGCGCACCUCGACGCGCCAACUGUUAUGUCAGUAGGUAGGUGACUGACUCAACCAUGCUUUUGAGGCUUAGUUGGUAGAUGUCUUGUUCCAGGUAUGGGGGCUGUCAGAGAAAAUUUCAACGUGCAAGUUAUCCUCUAUCCCUUGAUAUACCUCGGAAUCAUUGCUGACUGCUUGUCCCUUGGCCAAUCUUUUGGCACGGUCCCUCCACUGAGCUUACUAUACAGCGAUGAUGUCAGUGCUUGGUAGUGUUUUGACCGAGCUUUGGCGUAAGUCGUUCCCCCUACGUUGCUUCAUAGUGGUUCUCCAAGAGAUGGCUCCUGCCUUGGUGGGACCCGAACUUGUAGUUGUUUAUUUUAUCCUCUUAUAUCAGUAAUAUAGGAUUGUAAUGAUUUCUGGAGUUAGUUCUUUUAUCGAUUGCCAAAAAAUGUAAGAAUUUUUUUAAGAUUUUUAAUAAUGGAGCGUCAUUUGUGC